ACGCUCGACACCUACGGGGGGCAGCAGUGGGGAAUAUUGCACAAUGGGGGAAACCCGUGAUGCAGCGACGCCGCGUGGAGGAAGAAGGUCUUCGGAUUGUAAACUCCUGUUGUUGGGGAAAAAGAGGAUGGUACCCAACAAGGAAGUGACGGCUAACUACGUGCCUGCAGCCGCGGUAAUCUGAGCGGGCUGGCAAGGC
rnacentral:rRNA from 1 species